CCUACGGGGGGCUGCAGUGAGGAAUAUUGGUCAAUGGCCGGAAGGCUGAACCAGCCAUGCCGCGUGAAGGUCAGUGCCCUAUGGGCGUUAAACUUCUUUUGUGCGGGAGCAAUAAUGGUCACGUGUGGCCAGACGAGAGUACCGUACGAAUAAGCAUCGGCUAACUCCGUGCCAGCAGCCGCGGUAAUACGGGGGAUGCAAGCGUUAUCCGGAUUUAUUGGGUUUAAAGGGUGCGUAGGCUGUGAGGUAAGUCAGCGGUGAAAUGCCCCCGCUCAACGGGGUGAAGUGCCAUUGAUACUGCCUGGCUGGAAUGCGGAUGCGGUGGGAGGAAUGUGUGGUGUAGCGGUGAAAUGCAUAGAUAACACACAGAACACCGAUUGCGAAGGCAUCUCACGAAUCCGCGAUUGACGCUGAUGCACGAAAGCGUGGGUAUCAAACAGGAUUAGAGACCCCUGUAGUC
rnacentral:rRNA from 1 species